rnacentral:rRNA from 1 species
CACCGGCACCUCGAGUGGUAGCCACUAUUAUUGGGCCUAAAGCGUUCGUAGCCGGUUUGGUAAAUUCUUGGGUAAAUCGUACAGCUUAACUGUGCGGAUUCCGGGGACACUACCAGACUUGAGACCGGGAGAGAUCAGAGGUACUUGUAGGGGAGCGGUGAAAUGUUGUAAUCCUACAGGGACCACCAGUGGCGAAGGCGUCUGAUCAUAACGGCUUUGACGGUGAGGAACGAAACCCUGGGGCGCAAACG